rnacentral:rRNA from 1 species
UACGUAGGGUGCAAGCGUUGUCCGGAAUUAUUGGGCGUAAAGAGCUCGUAGGCGGUCUGUCGCGUCGGCUGUGAAAACCUGGGGCUCAACUCCGGGCCUGCAGCCGAUACGGGCAGACUAGAAUUCGGUAGGGGAGACUGGAAUUCCUGGUGUAGCGGUGAAAUGCGCAGAUAUCAGGAGGAACACCGGUGGCGAAGGCGGGUCUCUGGGCCGAUAUUGACGCUGAGGUGCGAAAGCGUGGGGAGCAAACAGG